rnacentral:misc_RNA from 1 species
GCAAGGAUAUUAUACAGCA